CCCCGGCGCCCCUGACCUGGGCCACAGCUCGCGCCCUGCGACCUGCCCGCGCGCGUCAGCCCCGCGGCUCUGGAGGACCCGGCGCCCUCUCUGUGGCGGAGUCUCACCUCGGGGAGCCGGGUGAAGAUUUGAGAAAUGUUCUUUGGCAUAGAACUCCUGCCUUCUUAUACCUGCUCCAUGCUUCAUGAACGCACAGCUGGUGUUUGUGAAAGACCCAGUGUGAGAACAACAGGAGAGCUCAGUCAGUCUUUGUUGC